rnacentral:lncRNA from 1 species
UGCCUUUGCCGCACUCUAUAUUCCCUUUCCUUUUAAUUUCUGACUUUGACUUAGUCUUUUUCCUAGUGGUUUUAGAAUAAAAAUCCUUUGACAUUAAUAAAACUUUAUUUCCUUUUCUCAUUUAAUUUCUGCUGCACCUUUACCUUAUUUCCUUAGGGUUUUAGAUACUUGGCUAUUUUUAAUAAACCUUGGCCGCACCCUUUGGAGAUCUAUCACGCCAUACACCAUCUUUACACACCCCGAAUUCAUCCCACUACUCUGCCGCACCCUACACUCAUUCUCCACCAUUCCCAUACAUUCAUACCUUCAACUACACAUCCACACACCUGAUAGGAGCAUAUUUAUGCGCCUUAGUUUAGCUUGUUCUUGUGCAUUUAUAGUGUUUUUGCUUAGUAAAGUAGUUUUUUAAGCUAGUUUUAUGUGUUUUCAGGUUCUAAGGGCAAAAUAUGAAAAAGGAUGCAUUUUGGA